UGGGUCUGCAUCUGGCCACCCUGGGUGACUUUGGGCACGUCACUUCCUGUCUUUGGUCCCCAGCUUCCUCUGCUGAAACACAAGAAGGUCAGCCUCAACCACCCUUGAGAGGCUGAGAGCCGCGGGAAAAUAAAGACUUGGGAGUCAGACGAUUGCAUGUAAACCCUGUCCACUUCUCUUCCCAGCUAUGUGACCUCCCUGGGCCUCCACCAUAAUUACCCCUACCCCUCUUUCUUCUUCCAGCUAUAACAGAAUGGCAGAAUGGCAGAAUGGGAAGGGAUUUCCAGAAUCUUCCAGCCCAACCCAUUUUACAGAUGCGGAGCCUGAGGCCAGAGCUCAGAGAACCAGCUGCCAUGUUGUGAGGACACUCAAGCAGUCCACCAUGAGGCCCAUGCGGUAACGAACUGAGGCCUCCAGCCAACAGCCACAUGAGUGGAAACAGAUCCCCCAGCCCCAGUCAAGCCUUCAGACGACUUUACAGCCCAGGACAACAUUUAAGCACAGCCACCUGAGAGACCCAGAAUCAGAACUACCAGCUAAGCUGCUCCAGACUCCUGUCCUACAGAAAUG